GGGCAGGUAGCUCAGUCGGUAGAGCAGGAGACUGAAAAUCUCCGUGUCGGGGGUUCGAUUCCCUCCUUGCCCA
rnacentral:tRNA from 1 species